UACCUGGAUGGAUAUUUAGGUUGCCCACUU
rnacentral:piRNA from 1 species